rnacentral:rRNA from 1 species
UUAAGUUAUUAAGGGCGCACGGUGGAUGCCUUGGCACUAGAAGCCGAUGAAGGACGUUACUAACGACGAUAUGCUUUGGGGAGCUGUAAGUAAGCUUUGAUCCAGAGAUUUCCGAAUGGGGAAACCCAGCAUGAGUUAUGUCAUGUUAUCGAUAUGUGAAUACAUAGCAUAUCAGAAGGCACACCCGGAGAACUGAAACAUCUUAGUACCCGGAGGAAGAAAAAGAAAAUUCGAUUCCCUUAGUAGCGGCGAGCGAAACGGGAAGAGCCCAAACCAACAAGCUUGCUUGUUGGGGUUGUAGGACACUCUAUACGGAGUUACAAAGGACGACAUUAGACGAAUCAUCUGGAAAGAUGAAUCAAAGAAGGUAAUAAUCCUGUAGUCGAAAAUGUUGUCUCUCUUGAGUGGAUUCUGAGUACGACGGAACACGUGAAAUUCCGUCGGAAUCUGGGAGGACCAUCUCCUAAGGCUAAAUACUCUCUAGUGACCGAUAGUGAACCAGUACCGUGAGGGAAAGGUGAAAAGCACCCCGGAAGGGGAGUGAAAUAGAACCUGAAACCGUGUGCUUACAAGUAGUCAGAGCCCGUUAAUGGGUGAUGGCGUGCCUUUUGUAGAAUGAACCGGCGAGUUACGAUUUGAUGCAAGGUUAAGCAGUAAAUGUGGAGCCGUAGCGAAAGCGAGUCUGAAUAGGGCGUUUAGUAUUUGGUCGUAGACCCGAAACCAGGUGAUCUACCCUUGGUCAGGUUGAAGUUCAGGUAACACUGAAUGGAGGACCGAACCGACUUACGUUGAAAAGUGAGCGGAUGAACUGAGGGUAGCGGAGAAAUUCCAAUCGAACCUGGAGAUAGCUGGUUCUCUCCGAAAUAGCUUUAGGGCUAGCCUCAAGUGAUGAUUAUUGGAGGUAGAGCACUGUUUGGACGAGGGGCCCCUCUCGGGUUACCGAAUUCAGACAAACUCCGAAUGCCAAUUAAUUUAACUUGGGAGUCAGAACAUGGGUGAUAAGGUCCGUGUUCGAAAGGGAAACAGCCCAGACCACCAGCUAAGGUCCCAAAAUAUAUGUUAAGUGGAAAAGGAUGUGGCGUUGCCCAGACAACUAGGAUGUUGGCUUAGAAGCAGCCAUCAUUUAAAGAGUGCGUAAUAGCUCACUAGUCGAGUGACACUGCGCCGAAAAUGUACCGGGGCUAAACAUAUUACCGAAGCUGUGGAUUGUCCUUUGGACAAUGGUAGGAGAGCGUUCUAAGGGCGUUGAAGCAUGAUCGUAAGGACAUGUGGAGCGCUUAGAAGUGAGAAUGCCGGUGUGAGUAGCGAAAGACGGGUGAGAAUCCCGUCCACCGAUUGACUAAGGUUUCCAGAGGAAGGCUCGUCCGCUCUGGGUUAGUCGGGUCCUAAGCUGAGGCCGACAGGCGUAGGCGAUGGAUAACAGGUUGAUAUUCCUGUACCACCUAUAAUCGUUUUAAUCGAUGGGGGGACGCAGUAGGAUAGGCGAAGCGUGCGAUUGGAUUGCACGUCUAAGCAGUAAGGCUGAGUAUUAGGCAAAUCCGGUACUCGUUAAGGCUGAGCUGUGAUGGGGAGAAGACAUUGAGUCUUCGAGUCGUUGAUUUCACACUGCCGAGAAAAGCCUCUAGAUAGAAAAUAGGUGCCCGUACCGCAAACCGACACAGGUAGUCAAGAUGAGAAUUCUAAGGUGAGCGAGCGAACUCUCGUUAAGGAACUCGGCAAAAUGACCCCGUAACUUCGGGAGAAGGGGUGCUCUUUAGGGUUAACGCCCAGAAGAGCCGCAGUGAAUAGGCCCAAGCGACUGUUUAUCAAAAACACAGGUCUCUGCUAAACCGUAAGGUGAUGUAUAGGGGCUGACGCCUGCCCGGUGCUGGAAGGUUAAGAGGAGUGGUUAGCUUCUGCGAAGCUACGAAUCGAAGCCCCAGUAAACGGCGGCCGUAACUAUAACGGUCCUAAGGUAGCGAAAUUCCUUGUCGGGUAAGUUCCGACCCGCACGAAAGGCGUAACGAUUUGGGCACUGUCUCAACGAGAGACUCGGUGAAAUCAUAGUACCUGUGAAGAUGCAGGUUACCCGCGACAGGACGGAAAGACCCCGUGGAGCUUUACUGUAGCCUGAUAUUGAAAUUCGGCACAGCUUGUACAGGAUAGGUAGGAGCCUUUGAAACGUGAGCGCUAGCUUACGUGGAGGCGCUGGUGGGAUACUACCCUAGCUGUGUUGGCUUUCUAACCCGCACCACUUAUCGUGGUGGGAGACAGUGUCAGGCGGGCAGUUUGACUGGGGCGGUCGCCUCCUAAAAGGUAACGGAGGCGCUCAAAGGUUCCCUCAGAAUGGUUGGAAAUCAUUCAUAGAGUGUAAAGGCAUAAGGGAGCUUGACUGCGAGACCUACAAGUCGAGCAGGGUCGAAAGACGGACUUAGUGAUCCGGUGGUUCCGCAUGGAAGGGCCAUCGCUCAACGGAUAAAAGCUACCCCGGGGAUAACAGGCUUAUCUCCCCCAAGAGUUCACAUCGACGGGGAGGUUUGGCACCUCGAUGUCGGCUCAUCGCAUCCUGGGGCUGUAGUCGGUCCCAAGGGUUGGGCUGUUCGCCCAUUAAAGCGGUACGCGAGCUGGGUUCAGAACGUCGUGAGACAGUUCGGUCCCUAUCCGUCGUGGGCGUAGGAAAUUUGAGAGGAGCUGUCCUUAGUACGAGAGGACCGGGAUGGACAUACCUCUGGUGUACCAGUUGUCGUGCCAACGGCAUAGCUGGGUAGCUAUGUGUGGACGGGAUAAGUGCUGAAAGCAUCUAAGCAUGAAGCCCCCCUCAAGAUGAGAUUUCCCAACUUCGGUUAUAAGAUCCCUCAAAGAUGAUGAGGUUAAUAGGUUCGAGGUGGAAGCAUGGUGACAUGUGGAGCUGACGAAUACUAAUCGAUCGAAGACUUAAUCAA